GAGGGAGCGCAGGAUCCUGGGCUGUGUCCCCCGGCGCCCUGGGCUCCAGGGCCUGCGCUGCUGGAAUCGCGCCUCAGAGGCCGCAGUUCCCC
rnacentral:pre_miRNA from 1 species